GUCUUUGAUGAUGAUGACAAAUUUUUUUCCCCGUCAUAUCGAUAAAUGAUGUUACCAUUUUUAAAAGCCAAUUUUGACUGAAUCAAAGAC